rnacentral:lncRNA from 1 species
AGUAACAGAGGAGAUGAAAGGCAGAGUAUGAGGACCUCUUCUCCUUUCCUUGGCUUUGCUGAAAAGCAGAAGACCAAGGGAAUGUGUAGUUUACUCCUACAGACCCUUGGUGGGUCAGUACAUUGAACCCAAGAUCCAACUGACAGUCCCACAUGGCUGAAGGAGGCACUGCUCACACAGUGAGCGCUGAUGUCUGGCUGCUCACCACGAGGUGGUGGUAGAUGCUCGCAUGUGCCGUUUGCAGAACCACGCUGCAGCGACGGGCAUCAAAGGUUCUCUAAUGCACUCUGUGUUCAUUGCUGCCCACUUUUCUGACUCCUUCCCUGUUCUUACGCUGCGGUUCCUGGGCUCUCACGGCCGUACCCUGCCAGCCCUCCCACUCUCUAUGUGUGGUGCUGAUGGUUCAGGCCUUACAGCUCCAUCCAGCAACAAAACGGACACGCUGCAGGGACUUGGUUAAAACACGACCCACCCUUGAUCCAUGCCUGGCCCAAACUGCUGAUUCCACAGCAAUCCUUGUUGCAAACUCUGUAAAUACUAAGACCUCCUUUGCUGGGACCACAGAGCUUCAAGCUGAUGAAACAGACAAGGACGUGAAAAGAAUGAGGACAAGAGAAACCCCAUCGUGUUCCAAGUCUUGUCAUCAGAGCCAAGCUGACCUACAGCUAACCACUGCUAUCCAUAUUUACAAUGGAAAAGCCUUUAUACAGACUUUAUAAAGAAGGUGACAAGAUCUUGAACCCAUUAGCUGUUUUUUCCAUCGCUUUCUCAGGCAUGGCUGACCUGAAAUUUGUGCCAUUAAAAGGGUUUUUUGUUUGGAGGUCGGGGAGGGGAGAAGCCUUUCAUCAUUUUUAGCAGCCCUAAUCCCUGAAUCCCAAACCUCCUCCUGGUCCCCUUCAUUAUCCACUCCUAAAAUAGUUACCUGUCCAUCCCUCAAGGUGAGUACAUCGUCUAUGUCUAAAAUGCCAAAAUAAUCAGGGGCCAAUUUUCAAGUACUAAAAAUAUUCUCCUGCCAACAGUUGUAGCAGUAUGCUACAUUCUGCUGGAGGGAGAAAAACAUCAAAUAACACUCUGGAGGAGACAGCAAAAGGCUGCAGUAGGUUGGAGUAGCCACAAAGCCAGUCUAAGCACCGAGCUUUGCAGAAAUGUCUGAUUUGGACUGGUCUUUCUCUUCUUUGCCAAUCCAUCUUCCCCUGCUGCCCUGCUCAGUCAUUUCUUUGUCACAGCAUCACUUACUGCUGUAGUUUUCUGUCUCACUUGACUUUUUAUGUUCUCCAUUAUUUCAGUUAAUGU